CAGCAGCCACGGUAAUACAGAGGGUGCGAGCGUUAAUCGGAUUUACUGGGCGUAAAGCGUGCGUGGGCGGCUAAUUGAGUCGGAUGUGAAAUCCCCGAGCUUAACUUGGGAAUUGCAUUCGAUACUGGUUAGCUAGAGUGUGGGAGAGGAUGGUAGAAUUCCAGGUGUAGCGGUGAAAUGCGUAGAGAUCUGGAGGAAUACCGAUGGCGAAGGCAGCCAUCUGGCCUAACACUGACGCUGAGGUACGAAAGCAUGGGGAGCAAACAGGAUUAGAUACCCCCGUAGUCCCUGUCUCUUAUAC
rnacentral:rRNA from 1 species